ACUGAAAGAAAAGAGAGAGCAAUGUUUGAAACUGUAUGAACGAGAAGAUGAGGAUAAGUCGUCAUGCAAACAAAUGACUCAUCAGAUAGAGGAAUAUAGUAAAUGCUCUCAAAAACUGUCUUCACUGAAGGAAGAUAAGUAUAUGUAUCCACUGAAUAUAUUGUCUCCUGCACAAGAGAGAAAUUUAUACUUAAAUAAAGGGUUAGCACUAGAGGAAGAAUAUUCUGAACAUGGUCAUUAUCCAUCAGCAGCAAAACAAGAAAACAAUGGAUAUAUCCUGGAAAUAGAUAAGUUAGAGAAGUUAGUGGAUAUAUAUUCUCAAAGAAUAUCUGCACUGAUGAAAGAGAAUGGGAGUUACUCACAGAAACUCCUCAUGUUACAGGAAGAGAAUGAUAGAUAUUAUCAGAAGAUGUGUGCACUAGAAGAGGAGAUAGAUGCAUAUUCUCGAAACAUAUUAACAGUACAUGAAAUUGAUGUUGACUCUUCCCAAAAGUUAUUAGCCAAGGAGGAAAUAUAUGGUAACUGUUAUAACAGUGUUUCAAAAGAGAAGAACUUUAGGUGCCCAGGAGCGAUUUGUGUUCUCUUGGGUGAAACUGAAAUACUUUCCAAGAACGUCUCUCACCUGGUUAAAGAGGGAGAUAGAAAUUCUGAAAAAGAAAUACCAGUGAUGGAAUCAAAUAAAUUUCUCAAGAAAAUUGUAGCUCUUGAUGAAAAGAAGAUUAAAUAUUUCCAGCUGCUUUCUGGUCUCAAAGAGGAGAGAAAUAGCUUUUUCAGAGAAAUAGCUAAACUCUUACAAGACAAAGAAAAAUAUAUAAAGAAAACUCAUGAACUGGAAGAAGAGAGAGAGAGAAAUUUACAGAUAAUAUCUCGACUAGAAGGAGACAAAGAAACUUUAUUGGGAAGUUUGAGUGAGCUGAAAUGUGAACAAGAUAAAUACAUGACAAUGAUUUCUGAAUUGAAUGAGUGCAAAACCAAAUGCUACCAAACAAUUUCUGAUCUACAAGAGGAAAAACAUAUACUGAAAAAUGAUAUGGAUGGAGUCCACAGGGAAAGUUCUGAACAGCUUCUAGAAUCUCAGAAAGUAAUUGAGAACAUUCUUCAAGAAAACAAUGAAUUGAAGGAAAUAAUGUCUGCUCUUGGAAUCAGCUAUGAAGAGCUGAUAAAAGAUAAAAUUUCUGGAAUGGAAGAAAAGUUGCUAAGAUUGAAGCAAGAAAAUAAGAGUCUACCACAUAGAAUGCAAGCAAAGGAAACAGAGAUGGCUUCUGGUAAAAUACAGACUAAAGAAAAAGGAAUUCAAGUUAUAGAACACUCAAACUGUCUCACUAGAAAAGAUAAAGAAAUCUGUUUGGAAGAGGAUAUUUGUAGCAUUAAACGAUAUUGUCAAGUGGGAUGUUCUAAAAACACUGAGACUUCUAAGUGCCAUUUUAGUAAGGUUGGGAUAAGUGCAUUUUUGGGUGAUCAAAACAUUAUGAUCUCCNGAAAUCUGUUUGGAAGAGGAUAUUGGUAGCAUUAAACGAUAUUGUCAAGUGGGAUGUUCUAAAAACACUGAGACUUCUAAGUGCCAUUUUAGUAAGGUUGGGAUAAGUGCAU
rnacentral:lncRNA from 1 species